CACUAUGUGUAGGGUACUUAUAUUUUUUGCAUCAGUUUGUAACUGCUACAUUAUGGUUUUUAUUUAUAAACUUUCAUAUUAUUUGCAGAUCAUUUUCCAGCUCUAACAUGUGACAAUUGGCUUUAUUUAUGCUAUCUUUUGCUGUAUAACCUAAGAUAAGCUUGCAUAGUCAAAUACUUCCUUCCUCUCUCCCCCUUUUUCAACCAUUUGGCCUAACACUGUGUAAAAUACAUGAUAUCCUAAAUUUUUCUAUUAUUUUUAUUGUUUUAUAUUUAUACUCAAUUCUAUAAUUCAUAUGGAAAAUAUUUUAUACAGCAUUAUCUAUAUAUCUCCUGGGGAAGUCCUCUAAGUUUGUUAGCUUUUUCUUUAUGAUUUCCAUGUCUUUGGUUUUUGUUCUGUUUUUUUGAAUUAUUUUCUGCACUCUCAUGAAAGUUUUUCAAAUUUCAGUAACAUACUCACCUUAAAUUUUUGUGUUGAACUUUAAAAUUCAAUAACCUCGUUUCCUAGUUAGAUUGUUUGUUCCUAAUGUAACUGGAUCAUUUUGUGUGCAGUUACAGUUUAUUUUGUGGUGGAUAAAUUCAUCAAUCCUUUGUGAUUAUCCUUUGCUAGAAACUGCUUCCUGUGUUUGCUUAGAUGGUCCCUGAGGAACACUAUAAUUUUUAUUUGCCAGGUUAUUACUCUCCUUACCCUUUGGUGCCAGCUUGACUUCUGGUUGCCUUGUACAGUGGCAAUUCCUCACAUGAUGGAAAGGUGUGUAGUUCACAUCUGCAAGUUUGUGGUGUUCUGCUGGUGAAUUCUGGUCUCUUUUGGGGCAAUAAAUGGAGGCCAUUCCAUUUCUAGUCUUCUCUACAGUGGUAGAGAGAACUAAGUUUAGCAACUCUUGGCUUCUCUUCUAGGAAACGACUUUGCCAUGACCAAUUCUUCUCCCUGUAUCUCCCAGAUAUCUUAUACCUACAGAAGCAACAUCCUGAAGGGCCCAGAAGCUCCUGGGCUCUAGAGAAGUAGUUUGAUUAUAGUUGGAGAAAGACCACAAAAAAAGCUGCAUAGAAGAAAGCUUCUUCACAGCUUCUCUUUCUAAUACUAACUCACAUGAUAUGAUUUUCAAGUGGUUUUGGCUACUCUGUAUUACUGUGAAUAUAUUACUGAGUAAUAUAGUCUAUAUUACUGAGGUGUUCAAGGUUAUAAAAUUGAGAUUAUUAUUUUUUUAUUAAAAAUUUUAAUGUUUUAUUUAUUUUUGAGUGAGAGAGAGAAAGAGACAGAGCAUGAGCAGGGGAGGGACAGACAGAGAGGCAGACACAGCACAGAGCCUGAUGCAGGGCUUGAACUCACAAACCAUGAGAUCAUGACCUGAGCUGAAGUUGGAGGCUUAACUGAGUGAGCCACCCAGGCACCUCUAAUAGUAAGAAUAUUCAAGACAAACAUAAGAACUAGCCAACAUAUGUUAUUUGCCAACCCCUGUACCUGGCAAACUAUAAAUCUUAAAUAUAUAUUCCAUCAAAAUGGAGAAGGGAGUCCAAACAUUUGAGAAUUAAUACAGAAAAAUUUAGGCUUUCUUUAAAAUUUAAAUUUUAACAUUCCUAAAGCAAUACAUUUCUUUUUUUGGGGGAAGUUGAUUUUAUUAUUCUUUUAGUCAUCUACAAGAUGAGUUUGCUUUAAUGAGUUUGCUUAAAAUGAAUAAAAAAUGAAACAAAAUGUAAGGUAACUUGUCCAAGAAAUUUGAAAAAAAUCAAGUAAUAUAUUUUUCAUGAAUCUAUUAUGAAAUGACAAGGAACAAUGAAGCAAACCUCAAAAUUUAACUGAAGAUAAACUUCACUGAAAGUAAUUUUUACUUAGUUAUUCUUUUAAUUGGUAAUCAACUGAGAUAGAAUAUUUCAUCAACAACUUAAUUUUAUCUGCUACUUUAUAUAUAUUUGAUUCAGAUUAAUCCACUUGUGAAUAUUCUACUAAUAAAUAUAAAAUGACUUAGUAGACUAAUUAUGCUAAAAAUUGUAUGUAGGUUAGUUCUGUGGUUAUCAAUGCAAUAUAAGUGUACAAAGAUCUCAAUUAGUAAAGAUGACAAAUAUUAUGGUACAUUUCACAAGUAGAACAGUUUUUAAAAAAAAUCAUAAAAAUCAUAAAUAAAAGAAAAAGACUUAAUUGUGAAAAUCAAUCUUCUCUUUGGGUGGAUUUACCAAGGAAAUUUAGACUAGAGGAUUAUAUAGGGCCAGGUGAUGCCUCUGGGAGAAAAUUGGGGUAUGAAGAUUGAUAGACAAACAAACCAAAAAAAAAAAACAAAAAAAAAAAAAAAAGAAAAGAAACCAGAGAAAUGCUACUUCUAUCAAUUAUCUUCCUCUUUCAGAAAUACACCAAUAAAAAAUAUUCCAAAGUGGUUUACAUUGGCAGUUUAGGGACUACCAUCAAGGAAAUGGUAGCUAAUGUUGCAUUUUAAAUAGAGGAAUGUGGGUCUCAUAAAUUCUGCUAUAUUUUAGCAAUGCCCAAGUUGUCUUAAAUCCUGAUGUAUUAGAAUUGUUAUGAAUAUGUAAAAUUCUUUGUCUCUUGUAGCAAUAGUUGACUUAAAAACUACUUUGUCUGAUAUUACUCCAGCCAUCCCUGCUUUCCUUUGGUUACUAUUUGUAUGGAAUAUCUUUUUCUAUCCUUUUACUUUCAAAACAUUUGUCUCUUUAUAUUUAAAGUGAGUCUCUUGUAAGUAGCAGAUAGGCCAAUCAUGCUUUCUUUUUAAAAACAUUCAUUAUGCCAAUCUCUGCCUUUUAAUUGAUGAGUUUCAUCCAUUUACAUUUAAAGUGAUUACUUAUAAGGAAGGACUUCAUUCUGCCAUUUUUAAGUUGAUUUUUACAUAUCUUAUAUAUUCUUUGUUCCCCAAUAUCUCUAUUACUGCCUUUUUUUCCUGUUUAGUUAAUUUUUUUCUAGUGUCCUGUUUUGAUUUUCUUCUCACUUUCUUUUCUGAGUUUCUUUUUGUUAUUUUCUUAGUGGUUACGCUUGAGAAUAUAAUUACAUCCUAAAUAUAUGAUAAUUCAGUUUGCAUUGAUACCAAUAGCAACCAAAGCUACAAUAGCUUCAAUAGCAUACAAAAACUCUGCUCCUUUAUUGUUCUAUUCCUACCAUUUCAUGUUGUUAUUGUCACAAAUCACAUCUUUUUACAUACAGUGUGCCCAUUAAAAUGGAUGUGAAAUUAUUAUUUUACAUAUGUGUCUUUUAAAUUAUAUAGGAAAAAAAGGCAUUGUAAAAUGAAAAUAUAAUAAUGUUAAUUUUUAUAUUUUCCUAUGUUGUUAUCAUGACUAAUUAAAAAAAAUUCUUUGUAUGGCUUUCAGUUACUAUCUAAUGUUUUUAAUUUCAGCCUGAAAAUCUCCCUUUAAUAUUUCUUACAGGAAACAUUUAUCAGUGAUGAACUCUCUUGACCUGUUUAUCUGGGAAUUGUAUUAAUUUCUACUUCAUUUUUCAAAAAUAGUUUUGCCAGACAUAGAAUUCUUGAUUGGCAGGUUUUUUUUUUCCCCCUUUCAACCCUUUAACAGUCAUUCCUCUGCCUUCUGGCCACCAUGGUUUCUGAUGAGAAACUGGCUUCUAGUCUUAUUGAGGAUCCCUGUACAUGACAAGUCAUAUCUUUCCCUUGAUGCUUUCAAGAGUCUCUGUCUUUCAACAGUUGAUUGUAACAUAUUUCGGUGUGGAUCUCUUUGCAUUUAUCCUACUUAGAAUCGGUAGAUGUAUAAAUUCAUUUCUUUCACCACAUUGCGAGUGUUUUCAGCCAUUAUUUCUUCAAACAUUUUUUCUUUCCCUUUCUCUUUUCUUCUUCUGGGAAUCCCAUAUUGUGUAUAUUGACACCCCACUGGUAUUCAUUAUUUUUUUGUUUCCGUUCAUCACAUUAGAUGAUUUUCUUCUGCCUGCUCAAAUCUGUGUUGAAUCCCUGUAGUAAAUUUUCCAUUUCAGCUAUUAUACUGCACAAUUUCAGAAUUUCUAUUUAAUUCUAUUUAUGUUUAUCUCUUUGUUGAUAUUUUCUAUUUGUUGAGACAUCAUUCUCCUGGUUUCCUUUAGUUGUUUGUGUAUAGGCUUCUUUAAUUCUUUGAGCAUAUUGAAGACAGUUGAUUUAAAGUCUUUGUCUAGUAUGUUUAAUCUUUGGGUGUCUUCAGUUAUGGUUUCUGCAUAAUUCUUUUUAUCCUGUGAGUAAGCCAUUCUUUCCUAUUUCUUUGCAUGUUUCAUAAUUUUUGGUUGAAAACUGGACAUUUGCAUAUUAAGAUUUGGCAACUCUGGAAAUCAGAUUUUACUCCCUCUCCAGAGUUUUGCUGUUGUGACUUUUUGGGGACUACAAUUGUCCAUUUGUUUAGUAACAUUUCCAAAUGACUCUUGCAAAGACUGUAUCCUUUGUCAUGUGUGGUCAUUGAAGUCUUUCUCCCACUAUCUCAGCAAUCAGCUACUGACUUAACAGGGAUUUCCUUAAAUGCCAAAAUUUAGCAACUUCUUUGUUCAUUAAGCACUCUCUGGUUGUUGUAGGAUUUUGUAUUAGUAUCCAGAGUUUUAAAAGAUUUGAUUCUGAAAACUUUUGCCAGCUUACUGGUUGCUUUCACAGAGGGAUGGAUCUAUGGAGCUCCUUAAUCCACCAUUUUUGGUGAUGUUCUCUUUGCCAGGAGUUAUUUUAUUCAUUCUGAGGAAAAAUGAAUUAGGUCCUGGGAUUUUAUUUCCCCACAUCCUUCUUGUUUCUUACUGUGUAAAUUUACAGAAAUCUUUUCUCUUAUGAUUUCCAUGUACAUAAACUCAAGAACAACAUGUAGAUGUGAAAGAAUAGUCAAUACUUUAAACUCUGUAAAACUUCUAUAGCUUCUUUUGCUUCUAUAGACUUAACGUUUAAGCUCAUUAAACUAAUUUAACAGAAAUUGUCAUCUUAAAAUUAAAUUUUGUGUCCUUAUACUAACAAAAACACAAUUUGAAAUUAUCAUGGAAAUAGCACUUUGGGCUAUUUAUUUUGAGAGAGAGAGAGAGAAAGCAGGCAGGGGAGGGGCAGAUAGAGAGGAAGACAGAGAAUACAAAGUAGGCUCCAUGCUGUCACCACAGAACCCAAGGCGGCCAUCAAAUUCCUGAGUAGUAACAUCAUGACCUGAGCUAAAAACAAGAGUGGGACGCUUCACCAAAUGAGUCACCCAGGCACCAAAGGUCCUUUUCUAAAGAAAAAUGUUCAAUAUAAACUAUAAUAUAUAUUGAUAUCAUAUAAUUUAACCAAAAUUAUAUAAUAUUUAUAAAAAAGGAGUUUAAAUCUGUGUAUGAAAAUUCUUUAUUCUCUACCAUAAAAAUGCCUUAGGGGAAGCUAAUUUAAUUUCAAACAGUUGAAUUUAUUUUAUUUCCAUACACAUCAAUUAUGUUAUAUUUAAAUAUAAAACUAUGAUAAUGAUGAAUAAAGUGGCAUGACACAUUCUUCUGGUGCUUUUGAAUAGCCUGUCUUUAAUGUGGCAACUCUUAACAGUUAAAGAAACUCUGACAGUUAAGUAAUCCCUUCACCACUUAAGUACAACAGGAUUGUAUUAUUAAGUACACUGCCUGGAAAUGGUGUGCUUUUUUCAUUCACACUAUAAACAGUUUUGUUAGAUUGGUAAUCCUGCUUGUCAGAUUUGUUCACUGUUUGAUAUUAAUCAGUAGGUUUAUAAAAGGUGCAGCACUGGACAGAAAUGAACAGAAAAUACGUUUUAAAUAAUGUUUCCAUAAAUCAUAGAGAGUCAGACAUCUCUAACUCUGAGGUGGAUGGAAUAUUUUGACGUUUUGCGGGUGGUUUGAUAGCUUGCUACUAAACCAAAAGUUUAAUAGCAGAGCUACUGUCCAUUUCCAUUACAUGCCUAUAGAAUCGGCUCUCACGGUAUAAGUUUGUUAAAAGUUCAUGAGAUUUUUUUUUUCUGGGGUAUUUAAUGAAUCACUUUUUAAAGCUUAUAUUCUUCUAGAAUAUGAAAACUAAAAAUGCUAUGACUAUAUAUUGAAUUACAUAAUUUUAAGCCAUGAGCAGUUAUACCACAUAUGUCUUCAUCUUCUUUAAAUGUUUUUCUGUAGUUCGGAAAACUGUCAUAUAACCUUUCCCUACAUAUUCCACUAUCUAAGCAACAUUUUUAUUCACUGAAUAUAAUUUGUUUUUAUUUUACUGCAAAGGUUAACAUUGCUUUAGAGGUAGUUUUAAAAACUUUUUAGGAACUCCGGGAUUUAGAAUAUGUAUCCAGGGUGCUGUUAUAAGGGGUCAUUAAAUGAAGAACUAGUUACCUAAAUUGAGGGAUGGAAAGUGACUCAUGAUAGGUAUAAUUCCUCAACAAACAUAUAGGUAACUUUGCUAGUUUUGCACAUAGGUCUUUAUUUCCAAAUUUUGUAGAUUACAGAAAUGAAUGUAAUGAUAUUAUCUGAAAGCUGUAUGUCUUAAAAUGUGCUUUGAUCUCUUGUGCUCACUGGUUCUUCCCAAGCCUCCCAGCUCUCCCCAUGGCUAUCUGUUCUUCAUGCUCACAGCUUCAAGGUGCUAGCAAAUUUUUUUCUUUUCUUUCCUUUCCUUUCCUUUCCUUUCCUUUCCUUUCCUUUAGUGUUUUAAAAAGUUUGUUUAUUUGUGGGAGAGAGAGAGAGAGAGACAGAGCAUGAGUUGGGGAGAGAUAGAGAGAGAGGGAGACACAGAAUCUGAAGCAGGCUCCAGGCUCUGAGCUGUCAGCACUGAACCCGACGCGGGGCUCCAACUUGUGAACUGCAAGAUCAUGACCUGAGCUGAAGUUGGAUGCUUAACUGACUGAGCCACCCAGGCGCCCCACGGGGUUGGCAAAUUUUAAAUUUUUUCCAUGCUAAACUAAUGCUCGCAAAUUACACAUGAAUAUUGUUUGGUUCUGAAUUCUUCUCUUCACGCUCUCAUUCCCUUCUUCAGCCCCUAAUCUUGAUAACUUCCUUGCUUGAUCUUUUCCUGCCAGAUGAAACGUUACUGUGCAGUGGCAUUGACCCGAUCUCAGCAAUUGCUGGAGGGUAGUGGGUAACCCAGGGACACAAGAGGGAGAAUAAGAUCAGACCUAAUGAUGUCCAUCCCAACUAUAGCAGGACUGAAUUUCUUAAUCCAUUGUUUAAUGUCGGUUAAAAUCCAUAAAUGACUCAUAAAUAGAUAUCAAUGAGAUGUAAUCUCUAAAGACUUCCAUACCACCAACCCUUUUGUUAUCCAGUGACAGGGAAUUGAAGAAUUCUUGGCAGACCUGAUUUGCAUUGUAUUUUCCUUGGCUUUUCAUUUUAUGAGUUUGUGACUACUGGCAAAAAUGCAGCCAAACAACAGGUACUUCAGAAACUGUUCAGGUGUGCAGCGACAUGAGCAUGUGAACUCAGAGUUAGGAAUUGAGAGCCUUGCACUACAGGGUGUUUUUGAACAAUGGAAGCAGACUAUUUUCUCCGAUGCGUUAUGGAGCUGAUCAGAAAUAUGAUGAGUUGUGGGCCAGGAAACCUGACUUCUGGUCAUGGAUCCCCCAUGAUCUCCAAGCCACCACAAGUGUCCACAACUUCUAGGCCAUGACUCCUUUAUUAUAAAAAAAUGGUUGUGCUCUGUGGUUUCUCAGGUCCCUUUCUUCUUUCAUAGCUAAUACCAAAUUAUCUUUCAUGAUAAUACCAAAUGUGCUAAGGCUUCAUAGUAGAUGCCAAUAAAAGGAGAGGCUAAACUAUGAAAUGGGAGAAGAAGAGGAGGGAAACAACUAUUCUUUUAUUGAAAAAAACAUAUUCCAUAUUAUGCAUAACGAUAGAAAGGGGAAUAAAGGAAAUAAUAGACCAAUUACUUUUCUUAGUGAGCAAAUGUUUGCAGUUUUUAGGUUUAUUUCUGAGUAACAAGACUUCUUUUAUGGGCUUUAUGAAUGACAUGAAACUCCUUAGACAUAUAAUAAUUUAGUUUGCCUGUCUUUUGAUAUUAUUUUCAUCAGAUCGAGGAUAUUAUUGAUAUUAAGCCAUCGCUGGCCAUUUUUAUUCAAAGGUUUAAAAAGUACACUGAAGUAUUAUCUGGGGUAGACUCAAUUUUAGGAGAAAACAUAAACACGGAGAAACCAUAAUCCUGGUGUAAUGUAGGAAUCUAAUUAAGACUAAUGAGGCAACAUUAAAUUUAAUGUAUGAUGCAUUUUAUAUGUCUCACCAUUAGAGCUGCAGCAAGCUGUUCAUCAGAGUCAUCUUUGGUGACUAUUCCCCUACGGGCAUUCUUCAGCAAUCUGGGAUUAGGCCGCGGUACUGGGUUUGUGGAGAAGCCAACACAAAAGCAAACUUGUAAAGUAAGCAUGCCAUUGGAAUCAUCUGUUGAUGGCCUUAGCUGGCUAAAAAAAAGCUAGACAUGUUUAUGCUGUGGGAAAGGUUCUCCUCGGUUUCAAGGCAUGACUAUUGAGUAUAGGGAUCACUAAGAAUCAUAGUCAGUCACCAAAGAAAUUAGAAGAGAAGCAGGACAGAGCAAGUAGCAAAAAGAAGAGGUGAUGCUUUCAUUGGCUUCCUAAGAUUCAGGGCCAUUACUGAUGUGGAGGAAUUGGGAAGGGUCUUGGGAGAAGACUUUUUCAUGCUGGAAGUUGCAACAGAGGUUAGUUGAUGUGCAUAUAGACACAAAGGAAGGAGAAUUGAUUCCCAGGAGUCUGGAAUUGAGAGCGUUUCACAUAACGUGAUAAACAUGUACAAUGAUAUCUAGCAUAAUAAAUUACAACAGCUGAUGCUUACUGUGGGGUCUCUGCAUACUAGGCAGUGUUUUAAGUGUUCAGUGUGCAUGAUUUCAUUCGGUUCUUCCGACCACCCCAUGAGGUAGCCAUGAUUAUUGUUCUGACUUUACAUGAAAAAAAAAAAUCAAGCAGAGAGAGAUUAACUAAGGAGGUAUAUAGCUAGUCAGUGGCCAAAUAGAAUUAGAACACAGGAAUCUGAAUCACAGCUUGAACCCCUAAGCCUAGAGAAAUAGGCUUAUAUCUUCAUAGAACACAGAGUAACCUUGAAACCACACGUGCCGCAAUGGGCUUAUGCCCUUUGUUGUAAAAUGAUGAUUACUUUGCCUAUUUGAAAAUUUACAAUGCAACUAUCUAUUGUAAUUUGGCUCCUUAAAUAGGAACCUGGAGUUUUCUGAGCUUGGGUCAUGCUGCCCCGAAACAUUAUAAAUGGCUUAUAAAAUUGCAACCUUUCUAGAUGUGGAGUGUUUCUGCUUUAAAGAGUAACGGUUUAUCUUUGCUAAUUGUUUCUGUUUGUUGACAUACAUGCUUUGAACACAGUUUCUGAAAGUUUGAAUUCAUAGCCUUCUGGAUCUUGCUGGCCCCGAGGGACAGUGAUUCAGAUUUGUUGUUAGAUGGUUCAGGCAGAGGACAAACCGUGUACAUCCAUAGAAGGCCAUGGCUAAAACUCAACUCAUAAACUCACUAAGUAAGUAAAUAACUAACAAUAUUAACUUCAGCAUUGUGGAAAUCAUAGGGUUGAUGCGCAAAAGAGGAAGAAAAACCACUUUUUGCUACUUUCAGUUGUUCCUUGUCUGCCCUAAUUCCUUAUAGUUUUUCUUUUUUUUUUUGCUGGCCCAACGUUGCCGCAGAAAUUACAACCUUCGAAUUAGUAAGUAGCAGAGCUGAGAGUUAAAUCCAGGCGGUGUGGCUUUGGCACCCACAUUCCUUGCUACUCACUAUACUGCUUGUGAACCUAAGAGUUACUUUCUGUUGGGAAACAUCAAAACUUUCCCUCUUCAUUGCUUUGGUAGUUAUUAGGCUAGAACCUUUUAUAUGUGUGAGGCAGACUGAAAAAGUGGUUAGCUUGAAGGUGAAUGAAUCCUUUCCGGGCAGAACUACGUAUAGAUGGAAUUGUAGGUCCCAGUUUUCAAAGAAGUACAUGUUUACAGGAUAAGAUCCAAUGUUCAAGUGGCUGUGAAUUAUGGAUUCCCUUAAACAUGUACAAUUCAAUUAAGAACUUGUAACAAAGGAUCUUUUCUUUAUGACUUAUGGGCGUUUGCACAUUAUGGCGACGGUGUGGAAAAAUCUCAAUCAGCUGGGCAAUUCAUUUUCUGCAUGCUAAUGCAAAGCUAAAAAGAUGGACCAAUUGUUUAAAAACAAGGCCCAAAGUGUCUUCUAAACAAUGAAGGGAAGUUACCUGCCUGUCCUUUAAAAACUAGUGCUUGAGUAAGUGAUUGUCCGGUGGUUCCACAAAGCCUUCUUAAAUGACAUCUAUCCCCCUCCUUUUUUGGAUUGAUGAUUUCAUUAAAAGCCAUUCUCCAAUUGUCGUUUUGCUUUCUCUGCUUUAAUGUGGUCUGUGGGGUUCAUUAGAUCCACCGUGUUAAUGGCAUCAGCUGGGUUUAGGUUUCAUUGCAGCUGAACCUCACCAUUGCUAAUCACUUAGCUAACAUAUGCCAAUAUCAUGGUACCUAAUGACUCCUUCUGCAGUGACUACUUUAUAUUCCCAUACCUCCCCUCUACAACAAAGUAACAUUGAUUAUCGGUGUGACCUGCAGGAUGGUGAGAGCCCUGACGGCUUCCUCGCGACGUGCGUACUUGGUUUAGAAUCUUUUCGCCUUGCCGCGCACUUUGCACGAUUCGUUUUCAUCCUCUCCUCUCCUCUGUCCAGUUAACGUGGUCGUUACAUGAGACAAAACCCAGGGGCUUGUGUGUCCAAAAUAGUACAGACUUUGCACCAUUUGCUGCUCAGUGUUUCCUCCAACACCGUCUAGGCCUUGAAGUGGCAUAAGUCGGAGCAAUCUUCAUUUGCUUUCUGCAAUCUCAUUGCUCCCUGGGGACCCUCCAAGAGUGAGUAAGAAAACAUUGCAGAUGCAUAAGGACAGUAUAUUGCUCUUCAGAAGUUUUGGUAUUUUGAGAUAAUUUUGGUCUCUAUAUCUCCUUUUUGGUUUCCUUUGAUAUCUGAGACCUGAAUAAAAGGCACUGUCCGAUCGCCUUCUCUCUCUCCCUUUUCCCCUAAUGUGAUUACAAAGGGAAAGCGGAGGGCCUAGCACUGAGGGGUGCUGGCUUUGGGGGUGUAGGCAGCAGCACAGUGCGAUGGCAGAGAGUAAUUCUGCUUCAAGGAAGAUACUGCCCAAUUUUUUAAACUUAAUAGGAUUAGUCAUGGGAACUAUUUUUAGCAGAAGUUCAACUUUAUCCAUGUAUUUUUAAUGUGGGAAAAUUGUGUCCUUUUCCCUCUGCUAAUGUUUGAUGUAUUCCAGCCCUCCUGUGAGCGUGUUUGAGUAUCUUAGGGGAUCUGGAGUGGAGGAGAACUUCCUCUCGGAUUCUCUCUGUUUUCUUUCGUGAAAAUGACAUUCCAAAGCUGUUUCACUUUCUGACAGGAAGUGGAGCCUUGCCAAAAAUGAUUAAAGUCCGAGAAAGCAUAACAGUUCCAAAGCUGCAGCAGUACUUUAGGAGUUCUGAGUUUGACACGGUGUCAAACAAAUGUGAAAUAUUGUUUAAUAAAUUUGAAUAAUAGAGAGAUAGGAAAAAAUCAUUCUUGGCUUAUAGCAGUAGUGGUUUGAAUUAAGUAUGGAAAAGACUACCUGCAUCUAAUAAAUUGAAAUAAAUAUGUAAAUACACUUGUGUGAGGUUAGCCGGGCCGGCGACUUUAUUCCAUUUUGCUAGUUAUACGCGCGAGACGAAAACACGUUUAAGUAUAAAAGCCUAUGUAUUUCUCCGGUGUUUAAGGGAAAUGACUUCUGUUUGUAUGAUCAAACCGUGCACGAGAGGUAAUUAUUUCUUGGAGUUUUAUAAUUAAUUCAAUAAAUUCAUCAAUAAAAUCACUUAGACCAAAAUAGUUUUGUUAAAAAGGGCUAAAUAAUCAUUGGAAACUUCAGUCGAUAUCUGGACUUAGAAGCCCAAAGGCUUCUUAUAUAAUAGCGGCCCUAGUUAUUUCACUGACAACCCCCAUUAAACUGUUUUACUUUUUCACCACAGAGUUAUGCAUUUAUGUAGACAACUACGUGCUACCCCUUCUCCAAAAGAAAACUGACCCCUCCAAAAAAAAAAAGCAUUUCUCUCAAAUUAAUAAAAAAUAUCACUUCUCUGAAAAAAAAUCCUUGAUGAAAAACCUUAUGAAACAUGUUUUUCAAAAAAAAUUUUUUUGAAAGAAAUUAUGACUUCAAUAAACUAAUUUUACUACUUAUUUCUUUCACUCUUUAAUGUAUGUAUUUAGAGUAUAUGUUUUCAGGGCAGAAAGUUGAAACUUUUCUGUAUCCGCUACCAUUGGAUGUAUAGCACGAUUCAUGACCACUUUUUAGACAAGUUAAAUUGAUUGGAGGAGUCAUUCAAUGUCAUUGAGUACCAUUUGUCACUUCAUAAACAGCUCCAAUCUGCUGCCUACAAAUGCAGAAGGACCGCCAAAUAAAUCACAUCAAAUAGUGGGAGUAGAUAGUAUCCCUUCAUCUAUAAUUGGUACAGCCUCUCCUGUCACAUUUGUUCAUUCUUGUGAUUCUGGCGUGGAUUGACACUGACAUGGAAAGGGCAGCCACUGUCAAAGACGUUAGAGAGUCUAUGUUUUGGUGACGUACGUGCUAAUAGAUAUCCAUCAUAAUAUUACAUUAACGUCACCCAUGUAUCAAACGUACAGCUUAGCCAUCUAGAUAUCUGAUGAUAUGCCCAUAUAGUUCUGUUCUAACAGGAGAUAAGCUCUUGGCGUUGAAGGGAAACUGAUAGAUGCCAGAGGGAAUUAACAUGAUUAACAGAUAUAUAAGAAAGCAACACAAAGGUAGCUUGCAUGUGCCGUUUCCUUGGACAUAAUUGUAAAGCUCUAUCAUUUAAUUCGGGUAGCAUUUUCAUAAAAUAUGAUCAGUAGAUACACUAUGCUUUUGCUAAUUUCCAAACAUCUUUCAUUUGAAGAAUUCUUAUUCUUGUCAGGCAAAAAAAAAAAAAGCUGCUAUUACAAUUAAUGCUUUAUAUUAUGUCCUAGGUUUAGGCUUUAAUGAAAAUCUGCUUUCUUAGGGUCAAAACUCUUUUACCCUGCAAUAUCUGUGUGUGCGCGUGUGUGUUUGUUUGUAUAAGCAAACACACACAUACACACAGGCUUUUGUAUAUAUUAUCCCAUACUGCCACACUAACAUUAAAAAUUAACAUAAAUUAAUGAAGACAAUAUACUUCCAUAAUGUCAAGUCUUUAAACACUGUAGACUCCAGGGAGAUGAAAAUGGACUUCAAUUGUUGCUGAAACAUCUCUAAUACAUUGUAUUCCACUCUGCAGAGAUAAUGGCCAUGUCUACAUGACAAACUGGAAAAUUCAGUGUUACAUUAGAACCGUUUUGUUUUACUGGGUUUUUCCUAUUUGCCAUGAGCUUUGCAUAUAUUAUCUCAUUCAACUUUACAGUAAGUGAGAGAGGUGGCUAUUUUUAUUCCCAUUUUAUAGGUGAGGAAAUGGAGGCAUUAAGAAAUAAAUGAGGUACACGAUAUUACCCAGAAAAGAAAGUAACUAAAAUUAUUUUUUUAAUGUUCAUUUAUUUUUGAGACAGAGAGAGACAGAGUGCAAGCGGGGGUGGAGCAGAGAGAGAGGGAGACACAGAAUCCAAAGCGGGCUCCAGGCUCUGAGCUGCCAGCACAGAGCCCGACACGAGGCUCAAACUCAUCAACCACCUGAUCAUGACCUGAGCCAAAGUCAGACGCUCAACUGACUGAGCCACCCAGUGGGAAUUAUUAUUUAAUUUGGGCUGCCUUAUCUAGCAAAAAUUCUUACUCCAUCAUCCUCCCUUAUUCCUUCUUCCUGCCCCGGACUGUCACUGAUUCAUUCUGAGUUUUCAAGUCUCAAGUACUGAAUGUUUGUAUCCUCCCAGAAUUCAUAUGUCAAAGCCCUGAUUCCCAACAUGACAGUGUUUGGAGGUGAAGAGAAGGCGGUCAUCUACAAGCCAGGAAGAGGGCUCUCACCAGAACUUGACCGUGCUAGCACUCCGAUCUUAGGCUUCCAGCUUCCAGAAAUGGUACGGUACUCUCUCCUUAUCCACAGUUUCAUUUUCCAUGGUUUCAGUGAUUCAGUUACUCAAGGUCAACUGUGGUCGGGAAGUAGAUGAUCCUACUGAAAAAUCGUCAAAAGGUGUAUGUUGUUACUCGACUCAACAUCGAACCCCUUAUUGCAUCAGAAAGUAUGCUGAAAUUUCAGUAGGAAGAAAUGCCUCUACCAAAUGCAGAAUACAAAAAUGUAAGUCGCUGCCCUGAAUUUCUGUUGCCUUAUACAUUUCUUCUUACCACUGCUGAGCCAAUGUUUUCCUCUUUUAAUUUCUCUAUUAACUUUAAUUAGGCUCAUGAGUUUGCUGGCCAGGUGGGUUUUCCCUAAAUACCCACAACUCUGUUUUCCAGGCUAACAGUAGAAUUAAGUUAAGCUACAGAUCUGAGGCAGAAUCUAACAUUAUAAGCUAUGGAAGGUUCCAAUGCCACUACAACUCAUUUUAUCCACUGAGGAUUUCAGCAGGCAGCACUUUUAAUAAGCCAGGCUCGACAUUUUUCAAGGAAUACUUUGGGAUCCAUUUUUGAAAGCAAUAUUGGUUACGAUUCCACAGCUGGAAAAUUUCCGAGAAAAUAAUGUUUUGUCCUCUGGAAAACAUACUUGGUCCAUACGGCAUACAAAACAUAAUAACUCUAAGCAACCGGUUCUAAAUGUUACUAACACAUAUCUCUAAUAUGUAAUUUGCCAAUGGCAUUGUCAUAGGCACAUGAUAUAAGAAUAGUACAAUGAUUUCCAAUUCACUCUUUUAUUUUAUCUCAUUUUAUUUGUCUUUUAGGAAACACAAAUUGCCUACAUUAUUUAUGUAUUUCUGUACAUUGACAUAGAUUUCACUUGUAAUUUUCUUACUGAAAAUUUUGAAAAAAAGCAACAGAACAGAGCUGAAAAUCUUCUGCGAUCGUACAGGGCAUUAGAUCGUCUCAGGUACUGGCUGCUGGUUUAAUAAAAGGAUAGGAUUUCCAUUUACUCCAGGCAGGCUUAAUGUAUUGUUCUCAGAGUGAGACAGUCAGAAUGAGUCAGGAGCCAAAGAAUACACUUUAUAGACACAAAUAAUCGUAAAUUCAGAAUGUCACCUUUAGGCAGAGGCAUUUUUAUUAUUGUUAGUGGAGCUGCUGAGUAGGUUUGAUGUUUUAUUCUCUUGAGGACUCAAUGUUCCUGAGUCCUGGAGCCCUGUCUUUAUCAGGCUCGCAAGGAGGGAGCCCAGCCAAACUUGCUUCCUAUACUUCUCUAUGAUUGAUAGCAGAUGGCAUGCUUUAAAAUAAACCUAUCCAUUAGCAGUCCUCAGUGUUUUUACUCAAGGCAUUUACAACUGUCUCAAGCAGAAAACACAUUCACUCUGUGAGCUAGUUUCAGUCCACAACAGCUGUACAGGUGCAAAUCUCUCAUUAACUCUUAAAUAGUAGUGAAAUAAACAAUGGCUUUUUCUCUUCCUUUAUUUGAGGGAGCAUACUUCAAAGCUGCUGUGGAAUUAUUCUCCUCCGCAGCAAAGCUUCAAAGGGUGGAGUUUUAUUAAAACCGCAUAAUAUUAUGCAAUGAUAGGCUAGCCCAAAGAAUGUAUAGAUCAUGUGGUGGAUGUUAUAGUUUAAGAAUUUGUUUCUAUGCACACAGAUUUAGUGGUAACUUACCAGUCUCACAGGAGUGAUUGUGAUGAGGUAGGGGAAAAAAAUACUCAACAAGAGUCCCUAGCAGCAUCGAGGCCCCUGGUGACAGGCACCUCUGCUCAAUGUAUAGCCUCCUCUCCCCUUCCCCUCCCCCUCCCUGCUUGCAAAGGGAGUGUUUCACCUGAACUUUUAUCAAUACAGUGAGUUAACGGUUUGUUUUUAGGCAGUCAAUUGAAUUUCCUUGCAUAUCGGUAGCUAGAGAAAAGCAAAGUCAUUUAAAAGUUAAUUUGUUACCCAUACUGAACACCAGUAAGAAGGUUGAUUUGCACUCAAGUGAAGAAAAAAAGCUUUGUAGUUUAAAAGAGUAUUACUAUUAAUAUUGGCAAACACCUCACAGAACUCACCUUGUGCCAAGUAUUGGUGUAUAAUCUUACAAAUAAAAACUUAUUAAAUCUUAUCAAUAACUCUUGAGAAAACUAUUGUCAAUAUCCCUAAUUUUACAUGUAAGGAAGUCACCAUGCUGUGUUAUCUUUGGUGUAAUUAAUAAUCAGACCCCAUGCCUGAGUGGCUCAGUCAGUUGAGCAGGUGAGCAUAGAACUCUUGAUGUCUUCUCAGGUGAUGAUCUCACACUUCAUGAGUUCAAGCCCUGUGUUGGGCGUCAGUGCAGAGCCCGCUUGGGGUUCUCUCUCCCCCUCUCUCUCUGUCCCUCCCCAUAGGUGUGCUCUCUCUCUCACUCACUCUUUCUCUCUCUCACAACAAACAAACAAACAAACAAACAAACAAACAAACAAACAAGCAAACCAGUAAGGCUCCAAGCAGAGCACUUCCCUGUAGAAGUUGAGAGCAUGGUUUCUAAGGCCACACUGCCUGGGUUCAAAUGCUUACUUCAGCACUUACCGUCCACAUGACCGCAGGAAUGUCAUUUGAUGGUCCCUGUUUUCUCACUUCUUACUUUAUAGCUCCACUGUGGGCUAAUACUUGUUCUUUCCUGUAAUGGUU